ACGAACGCUGGCGGCGCGCCUAACGCCUGCAAGUCGAACGAGCGAGAGAGAGCUUGCUUUCUCAAGCGAGUGGCGAACGGGUGAGUAACGCGUGAGGAACCUGCCUCAAAGAGGGGGACAACAGUUGGAAACGACUGCUAAUACCGCAUAAGCCCACGACCCGGCAUCGGGUAGAGGGAAAAGGAGCAAUCCGCUUUGAGAUGGCCUCGCGUCCGAUUAGCUAGUUGGUGAGGUAACGGCCCACCAAGGCGACGAUCGGUAGCCGGACUGAGAGGUUGAACGGCCACAUUGGGACUGAGACACGGCCCAGACUCCUACGGGAGGCAGCAGUGGGGAAUAUUGCACAAUGGGGGAAACCCUGAUGCAGCGACGCCGCGUGGAGGAAGAAGGUCUUCGGAUUGUAAACUCCUGUUGUUGAGGAAGAUAAUGACGGUACUCAACAAGGAAGUGACGGCUAACUACGUG
rnacentral:rRNA from 1 species